UUUAUUGAGAGUUUGAUCCUGGCUCAGGAUGAACGCUAGCGGCGUGGAUAAGGCAUGCAAGUCAAACGGUUUCGUUAUCUAUAUAGCAAUAUAUAAAAAACGAAAUAGUGGCGAACGGGUUAGUAACACGUAGAUACUUCCCCUAAACACGGGCAUAAUUCCGCGAAAGCGGAACUAAUUCCCGAUGGCCCCCGAGAGCAAUCUUUGGGUAAAGGAGCAAUCCGGUUUAGGAAAGGUCUGCGGCUUAUCAGCUAGUUGGUAGGGUAAUGGCCUACCAAGGCUAUGACGAGUAGGCGGUGUGAGAGCAUGACCGCCAACAGGGGUACUGAGAUACGGACCCCACUCCUACGGGAGGCAGCAGUCGAGAAUAUUCGACAAUGGGCGAAAGCCUGAUCGAGCGACGCC
rnacentral:rRNA from 1 species